rnacentral:rRNA from 1 species
AUUGAACGCUGGCGGCAGGCCUAACACAUGCAAGUCGAACGAGUGGCGGACGGGUGAGCAAUGUCUGGGAAACUGCCUGAUGGAGGGGGAUAACUACUGGAAACGGUAGCUAAUACCGCAUACCAUCGGAUGUGCCCAGAUGGGAUUAGCUAGUAGGUGGGGUAAAGGCUCACCUAGGCGACGAUCCCUAGCUGGUCUGAGAGGAUGACCAGCCACACUGGAACUGAGAAACGGUCCAGAGUCCUACGGGAGGCAGCAGUGGGGAAUAUUGCACAAUGGGCGCAAGUCGGCGGCAGCGAUGGAGGGGUUAAGGAGACGGAGGUCGGGUUGAUAAGUAAGCGUAGCUGUGAGGCGUUAGCAACAGAAGUAGCACCGGCUAACUAAGUGCCAGCAGCCGCGGUAAUAC